UACGAAGGGGGCGAGCGUUGUUCGGAUUUACUGGGCGUAAAGGGCGCGCAGGCGGCCAUUCAAGUCAGGCGUGGAAGCCCCGGGCUUAACCUGGGAGGUGCGUCUGGGACUGGGUGGCUAGAGAUCGGGAGAGGAGAGUGGAAUUCCCAGUGUAGAGGUGAAAUUCGUAGAUAUUGGGAAGAACACCGGUGGCGAAGGCGGGUCUCUGGGCCGAUACUGACGCUGAGGAGCGAAAGCGUGGGGAGCGAACAGG
rnacentral:rRNA from 1 species